GAUGAACGCUGGCAGCGUGCCUAAUACAUGCAAGUCGAGCGGAAAGACGGGGAGCUUGCCGGUCUGACGAUAGAGGCGGACGGGAGAGUAACACGAGGUUGACCUAACUAUAAGACAGGGAUGAUAAUAGGAAACCGGAGGUAAUUACGGAAAAUAUAUUUAAUGAAAGGGUUCAAUGCUGAAAGACGGCUUUGCGUUCCCUUAUCGAGUGGUCCGCGUCGCAGUAGAUAGUUGCUAAGGUAACUGGUUAGCCAGGGAAGGAUACGUGGCCGAACUGAGAGGAUGAUCGGCCGCCCUGGAACGGAGACACGGCCCAGACUCCUACGGGAGGCAGCAGUAGGGAAUCUGCCGGAAGGGGCGAAAGCCUUACGGAGCAACGCCGAGUGAGUGAUGAAGGUCUUCGGUGCGUAAAACUCUGUUAUUAGGGAAGAACAAAUGUGUCAGUAACUAUGCACGAAUUGACGGUACCUACACAGGAAGCCACGGCUAACUACGUG
rnacentral:rRNA from 1 species